GAUGAACGCUGGCGGCGUGCCUAAUACAUGCAAGACGAGCGAACAGACGAGGAGCUUGCUCCUCUGACGUUAGCGGCGGACGGGUGAGUAACACGUGGAUAACCUACCUAUAAGACUGGGAUAACUUCGGGAAACCGGAGCUAAUACCGGAUAAUAUAUUGAACCGCAUGGUUCAAUAGUGAAAGACGGUUUUGCUGUCACUUAUAGAUGGAUCCGCGCCGCAUUAGCUAGUUGGUAAGGUAACGGCUUACCAAGGCAACGAUGCGUAGCCGACCUGAGAGGGUGAUCGGCCACACUGGAACUGAGACACGGUCCAGACUCCUACGGGAGGCAGCAGUAGGGAAUCUUCCGCAAUGGGCGAAAGCCUGACGGAGCAACGCCGCGUGAGUGAUGAAGGUCUUCGGAUCGUAAAACUCUGUUAUUAGGGAAGAACAAAUGUGUAAGUAACUAUGCACGUCUUGACGGUACCUAAUCGGAAAGCCACGGCUAACUACGUG
rnacentral:rRNA from 1 species